rnacentral:rRNA from 1 species
AUUGAACGCUGGCGGCAUGCUUUACACAUGCAAGUCGAACGGCAGCGCGGGGCAACCUGGCGGCGAGUGGCGAACGGGUGAGUAAUAUAUCGGAACGUACCCAGAAGUGGGGGAUAACGUAGCGAAAGUUACGCUAAUACCGCAUACGAUCUACGGAUGAAAGUGGGGGACCUUCGGGCCUCAUGCGUUUGGAGCGGCAGAUAUCUGAUUAGCUAGUUGGUGAGGUAAAGGCUCACCAAGGCGACGAUCAGUAGCUGGUCUGAGAGGACGACCAGCCACACUGGACUGAGACACGGCCCAGACUCCUACGGGAGGCAGCAGUGGGGAAUUUUGGACAAUGGGCGCAAGCCUGAUCCAGCAAUGCCGCGUGAGUGAAGAAGGCCUUCGGGUUGUAAAGCUCUUUUGUCAGGGAAGAAACGGCCGAGGAUAAUACCUUCGGCUAAUGACGGUACCUGAAGAAUAAGCACCGGCUAACUACGUGCCAGCCGCCGCCGUAA